AAGAGCAGUGGCAAACGGGUGCGUAACGCGUAAACAACCUGCCCACGACUGGGGGAUAGCCUUGCGAAAGCGGGGGUAAACCCCCAUGGUCCCUUUACUUCACCUGGGGUGAAGGGUAAACAUUGAUGGGUCGUGGAGGGGUUUGCGUCUGAUUAGCUAGUUGGCGGGGUAAGGGCCCACCAAGGCGAUGAUCAGUAGGGGUUCUGAGAGGAUUGGCCCCCACAUGGGUACUGAGAGACGGACCCAACUCCUACGGGAGGCAGCAGUAGGGAAUAUUGGGCAAUGGAGGCAACUCUGGUCCCAGCCAUGCCGCGUGCAGGAUGAAGGCGCUCAGCGUUGUAAACUGCUUUUAUCUGGGAAGAACGUGCAGGGUGCGCCCUGCAGUGACGGUACCAGAGGAAUAAGCACCGGCUAACUCCGUGCCAGCAGCCGCGGUAAUACGGAGGGUGCAAGCGUUGUCCGGAUUUAUUGGGUUUAAAGGGUGCGUAGGUGGUUUCUCAAGUCUGGUUUGAAAGCAGGCGGCUCAACCGUCUGAUGUGGCUGGAAACUGGGGAACUUGAAUGGGUUGGCGGUAGCCGGAACGGGUCACGUAGCGGUGAAAUGCAUAAAUAUGACCCA
rnacentral:rRNA from 1 species